UUAGUGAGUAGUUUAAAGAACAAAACGAUAGGUUGUGGUUCUAUAGAUAGGUUAGUCUCUCAUUAG
rnacentral:tRNA from 1 species